ACGUCGGAGAUCGACUCGCCGGAUCGGGAUCGUGCUCUGGCCGACGAGGCCGCCGCCCGCGAAUCCGGCUUCUCCCUCAAGCCGCCGCUCUACGCCAUCGGCACUCAGGUCAACGCCCUCGGCGAGGCCAACUUCGGGCGGUCGCGCCGGGAAUUCGAGGCGAUGCCCUUCGCCAAGGACGCCUGUGGUGAGCUCGCUGCCGAGGUCGAGGCUGAGUGCCGCCAGGAUCUGAUCACCGAGGCACCCGGGCUGUCGAUGCUCCCCAACGGUUCGCUCACGACUCCAGCGGGCAUCCUGCCCAUCUCCGAGCGCGGUUUCGACGGGAUGUGCCGCCUGCUUACUCCUGGUGGUG
rnacentral:misc_RNA from 1 species